rnacentral:rRNA from 1 species
UACGUAGGGUGCGAGCGUUAAUCGGAAUUACUGGGCGUAAAGCGUGCGCAGGCGGUUUUGUAAGCCAGAUGUGAAAGCCCCGGGCUUAACCUGGGAAUGGCAUUUGGGACUGCAAGGCUUGAGUGCGGCAGAGGAGACUGGAAUUCCCGGUGUAGCAGUGAAAUGCGUAGAUAUCGAGAGGAAUACCGAUGGCGAAGGCAGGUCUCUGGGCUGACACUGACGCUCAUGCACGAAAGCGUGGGGAGCAAACAGG